rnacentral:rRNA from 1 species
UGCCAGCCGCCGCGGUAAUACGAGUACCUCAAGCGUUAUCCGGAAUUAUUGGGCGUAAAGGGUCCGUAGGUGGCCAUAUUAGUCAGGUGUGAAAGAUCCGUGCUCAACACGGGGACCGCACUUGAAACGGUAUGGCUUGAGUAUGUGAGGGGUGCGUAGAACUCAUGGUGUAGGGGUGAAAUCCGUUGAUAUCAUGGGGAAUACCAAAAGCGAAGGCAGCGCACUGGCACAUUACUGACACUAAGGGACGAAACCCUGGGUAGCGAAUGGGAUUAGAUA